rnacentral:rRNA from 1 species
ACUCCUACGGGAGGCAGCAGUGGGGAAUAUUGGACAAUGGGUGAAAGCCUGAUCCAGCAAUACCGCGUGUGUGAAGAAGGCCUGCGGGUUGUAAAGCACUUUCAGCUGGAAAGAAACGGUCACGGCUAAUACCCGUGGCUAAUGACGGUACCAGCAGAAGAAGCACCGGCUAACUACGUGCCAGCAGCCGCGGUAAU